CUUGAUCGCGCCGAGCCACAGCGGCCGGUCCCGGUCCUGGCCGUAGGUGGCCAGCAGCGCCUGGGCCUC
rnacentral:antisense_RNA from 1 species